rfam:Triticum urartu cultivar G1812 contig863476, whole genome shotgun sequence.
UUGCUACUCCCUCCGUCCGGAAAUACUUGUCCUAGAAAUAGAUAAAAUAUAUGUAUUUAUAACUAAAAUAAGUCUAGAUACAAUCAUUUCUAGGACAAGUAAGUUAUAGAUACAUCCAUUUUAUCCAUUUUUAGGACAAGUAUUUCCGGACAGAGGGAGUAUUUU